rfam:Chelonia mydas contig143977, whole genome shotgun sequence.
AGAAUUGCUUUGAGAAAAGACUCUGCCUUAGAACAUGGUUUUCCCAGGGCGAGGCUCAUCCAUUGCACUGCGGGUGUGCUGACCCCUGCGAUUUCCCCAAAUGCGGGAAACUCGACUGCAUAAUUUGUGGUAGUGGGGGACUGCGUUCGCGCUCUCCCCGG